rnacentral:rRNA from 1 species
AAAGAAAGUAAGCAAGGGCGCAUGGCGGAUGCCUUGGCUCUCGGAGGCGAUGAAGGACGUGAUAAGCUGCGAUAAGCUUCGGGCAGGUGCAAAUAACCUUUGAUCCGAAGAUUUCCGAAUGGGACAACCCGUCAUUCUGAAGGAAUGACAUCUUGCAUAGCAAGAGGCUAACGCAGGGAACUGAAACAUCUUAGUACCUGUAGGAAAAGAAAAUAAUAAUGAUUCCCCUAGUAGUGGCGAGCGAACGGGGAUUAGCCCAAACCAAUGUUGUUACGGCAAUAUUGGGGUUGUAGGACCACGAUGUCGCAAGAAGUUUAGUGAGAAGAACCCUUUGGAAAAUGGGACCAUAGACGGUGAUAGUCCGGUAUUCGAAGCUAAAUGAAGCGUAGUGGUAUCCUGAGUAGCGCGGGACACGAGGAAUCUUGCGUGAAUCUGCCGGGACCAUCCGGUAAGGCUAAAUACUCCCGAGAGACCGAUAGCGAACCAGUACUGUGAAGGAAAGGUGAAAAGCACUUCGAAUAGAAGAGUGAAAUAGUCCCUGAAACCGUGCGCCUACAAGCGGUCGGAGCUGCUUCAGCAGUGACGGCGUGCCUUUUGCAUAAUGAACCUACGAGUUACUUUUUCCGGCAAGGUUAAGGAUCUUGAGAUCCGCAGCCGAAGCGAAAGCGAGUCUUAAUAGGGCGAUUAGUCGGAAGGAGUAGACGCGAAACCAAGUGAUCUACCCUUGGUCAGGUUGAAGGUUAGGUAACACUAACUGGAGGACCGAACCGAUAAGCGUUGAAAAGCUUCCGGAUGAACUGAGGGUGGGGGUGAAAGGCUAAUCAAACUUGGAGAUAGCUCGUACUCCCCGAAAUGCAUUUAGGUGCAGCCUUGGGAAUUACUACUGUGAGGUAGAGCGACUGAUAAGAUGCGAGGGCUUCACCGCCUAUCAAGUCUUGAUAAACUCCGAAUGCGCAGUAGUUCGAUCCCAGGAGUGAGGGCAUGGGUGCUAAGGUCCAUGUCCUAAAGGAGAAGAAUCCAGACCAUCAGCUAAGGUCCCGAAAUAAUUGCUAAGUUGAACUAACGAAGUCAGAUUGCUAAGACAGCUAGGAUGUUGGCUUGGAAGCAGCCAUUCAUUUAAAGAGUGCGUAACAGCUCACUAGUCGAGGAGUUUGGCGUGGAUAAUAAUCGGGCAUUAAGCAAUUUACCGAAGCUAUGGGAUCACUAACGAUCGGUAGGGGAGCAUUCCACUCUGCGUCGAAGGUGAAGCGUGAGCUUUGCUGGAGCGUGUGGAAAAGCAAAUGUAGGUAUAAGUAACGAUAAAGGGGGUGAGAAACCCCCUCGCCGAAAGACUAAGGUUUCCUGAUCAACGCUAAUCGGAUCAGGGUUAGUCGGGUCCUAAGGCUCAGCCGAACGGUGAGGCCGAUGGCAGAACAGGUUAAUAUUCCUGUACUACCUUAAGGAGUGACGUGGAGACGGAGGAGUGACAACGCCGCGGACUGACGGAAUAGUCCGUUGAAGGGUGUAGAUGUUGAUUAUCCCAGGCAAAUCCGGGAUAAGAGUCGAACCUGAUAGUAUACCAAAUUCUUCGGAAUAAGGUAAUAGUGCGUGUAAGCAUACUCCCAAGAAAAUCCGCUAAACUUAAUCUUUAAGGUACCCGUACCGCAAACGGACACACGUAGUCGGGUUGAAUAUACUAAGGCGCUUGAGUGAUUCACGGUUAAGGAACUAGGCAAAUUGACCCUGUAACUUCGGGAUAAAGGGUCCCAACGAGAGUUGGGCGCAGAGAAUAGGUCCAGGCAACUGUUUAACAAAAACACAGGGCUGUGCUAAAUUGAAAGAUUACGUAUACAGCCUGACACCUGCCCGGUGCUGGAAGGUUAAGAGGAGAUGUCAUCGCAAGAGAAGCAUUGAAUUGAAGCCCCAGUAAACGGCGGCCGUAACUAUAACGGUCCUAAGGUAGCGAAAUUCCUUGUCGGGUAAGUUCCGACCUGCACGAAUGGUGUAAUGAUCUGGACACUGUCUCAACCGUGAGCUCAGUGAAAUUGUAGUAUCGGUGAAGAUGCCGAUUACCCGCGAUGGGACGAAAAGACCCCGUGAACCUUUACUAUAGCUUAACAUUGAAUUUGGGUAAUUGAUGUGUAGGAUAGGCCGGAGACUUUGAAGCAGGUACGCCAGUAUUUGUGGAGUCGCUGUUGAAAUACGGCCCUUUGAUUAUUUGAGUUCUAACUCGUAGAUACGAGGACACUGUUUGGUGGGUAGUUUGACUGGGGUGGUCGCCUCCAAAAGUGUAACGGAGGCUUCUAAAGGUGCCCUCAGGACGAUUGGUAACCGUCCGUAGAGUGUAAUGGCAUAAGGGCGCUUGACUGGGAGACAGACAAGUCGAUCAGGUAGGAAACUAGAGCAUAGUGAUCCGGUGUUUCCGUAUGGAAGGGACAUCGCUCAAAGGAUAAAAGGUACUCCGGGGAUAACAGGCUGAUCCCUCCCAAGAGCUCAUAUCGACGGAGGGGUUUGGCACCUCGAUGUCGGCUCGUCACAUCCUGGGGCUGGAGAAGGUCCCAAGGGUUGGGCUGUUCGCCCAUUAAAGUGGCACGCGAGCUGGGUUCAGAACGUCGUGAGACAGUUCGGUCUCUAUCUAUCGUGGGCGUAUGAAAUUUGCGUGGCUCUGACACUAGUACGAGAGGACCGUGUUGGACUGACCGCUGGUUUACCAGUUGUGCCGCCAGGUGCAUUGCUGGGUAUCUAAGUCGGGAUUGGAUAAGUGCUGAAAGCAUCUAAGUACGAAGCCAGCCACAAGAUUAGAUUUCUUAGGGUCGUCAAAGACGAUGACGUUGAUAGGAUGCAGGUGUAAAGGUGGUAACAUCAAAGCCGAGCAUUACUAAUUGCCCGUUCACUUUCUUU